rnacentral:rRNA from 1 species
UACGUAGGGUGCGAGCGUUAAUCGGAUUUACUGGGCGUAAAGCGUGCGUAGGCGGCCCGUUAAGACAGGUGUGAAAUCCCUGGGCUCAACCUAGGAAUUGCGCUUGUGACUGGCGGGCUCGAGUACGGUAGAGGGGGGUGGAAUUCCUGGUGUAGCAGUGAAAUGCGUAGAGAUCAGGAGGAACACCGAUGGCGAAGGCAGCCCCCUGGGCCUGUACUGACGCUCAGGCACGAAAGCGUGGGGAGCAAACAGG